AGGGAAACAAGCUUGCCUAGCAUCACACAGCAGCAUAUGUUCAGCUGGGGCCACCGCCCCUUUUGGCUCAGCACAGGUGCAACGCAAAGGAGCUUUGCUUUUCCUGGGCUCAGGGAAAGUUGAAGGCAACCUGAGAAUAGGUGCUUCCUGGGGAACGGUGUUGAACCUAACCCCCUUCCUCCACUCUUUAAAAUCAGACAGGCUCUGUGCUGAAGACCGACACUGACAGCUUUCGGCCAGGAACUUAUCUUUCCCAGCAACAAAGAACAGGUGCCAGCCAUAGCAAUAGUUUCAGACCCGUGGAGUCAGCUGUGCUGUUGCCAACCUCCAUCACCUGUCCGCCUUUAUCCUGGGCUCUGUUCCUGUGGAUUUGAACAAAUAGAUGAGCGGCAUCGGAAGAAAGCUUUAGCUGCAUGUGUUUGGGUGACCACGAGAGGGCAGCACGUAAGAGACCAGUGUCGGCCCCGCUGCCUUCUUGAACACACCGGAAGCCUCCUAGGAAAACUGCAGAUUUUGUCAGACUGUGAAGUAGAAGAGUCAAAGAGCCUUCAUUGCUUCCUUUUAAAUGACCAGCCUACUAAGGAAUUUAGAAUGCCCAAGUAAGGACUGCUGGUCAGACUGGACUUCAAAAUUCCUGGAUCCUUAAGACCCAAUGCAUCAGACAAAUGUCCUGCUGGAUCCUCCCACCGUCAGCUAAGGGACAGUGCUAGCUCUCUGGUGAGGGAGAUCCGUGUGGAGGUCUCUGGCAUUCCUGGGUCAGUGGAUGGCUGGGAGAACUGCUCAGCUCCAGGUUCCAGGGCCUCUGAUCAAAGCCAACCCUGGGGGCCAGCCAGAGAUAUCGCAAACCUAAGGACUAACGUGGAAUCUACACCUGCCUUGGGAGUAAAGAACAAGCAGGGUGCUUUCCGGGAUGGCUUUGGGAUGAGAUGCCCAAGACUUAGUGCCCCUGGCAUUGCUCAGCUCUCAAGCUGACUUCCACAGCACCCCCAUGGAAGCUUCAUUGGUGCAUCUUUGGGUCUUGAAUGCAGUGCUACAAUAUUGACGAGGAAAGUCUCCUUGGAACCACAGGAAGACAAAAGUGCAGAGUGAUUUGCUGGCCUUGGCUAGGACAGGGUCCAGGGUGCAGCCAAGGGAGGGUGAUCUAAGCCAGCCAUUCUCCUAGUGUGGCUCCUGGACUAUGCGCAACAGCAUCACCUGGGAGCUUGUUAGAAACACUGGUUCUCAGUUCCCAUGCAGACGUCUUGCAUCAGAAAAUCUGGGGCUGGGGCCCAGCAAUCAGUGUCUCCAAAGGCCCUGAGAUCAUUCUAUUCAAGUUUGGGAACCAGCAACACAGCAUUUAAGUGGAAAUGUUUAUAGUUGCAAAGCCAGGUGAAGCUUGAAAUGCAUCAUAGAGGAAAUGAGGACAAGAAUGUAGAAAAAGAGUAAAAACAGAGAGGAAAAAAAUUUACAAGCCAUCAUAGAGUGAAAGAGCUUCCCCUGCUGCCUGGGGGUGUGGGAAAUGAGAGUUGCACCUGCUCACAAGUAUGACCAGCAAUUUAAUAUCUAUCUAGAGCUUUCAACCCUGCCAUGUCAAAUUUAUUUAGCUAAAAACAACUCUUGUGGUGGUGACCUUUUAUUCAGCUAAUAUUACUCCCCUCAAUGCCUCCAAAGCACACAGAGAAAUUGGAGGGCUGAUGAAAAUCUUUAAAGUCUACUAAAUACUAAAGCCUUCCCAAACACUGUGUACUUUUCAGAGAGAGUUUCUUUUUAUUGGAAUUUCAGAUUAUUGAAAGGUUAUCUGUCUCCUGUUCCUAGAGGGAUUAAAAUAAAACAAAAGCAAGAAGAACACA
ensembl:lncRNA novel transcript